AUGCCCCCUUCGUGCACUCCGGUUCUGAGCGCGCCGUCCACACUCACCUGAGGACUGCUCGCUCGUUUUGUUAGCC
rnacentral:sRNA from 1 species